rnacentral:tRNA from 1 species
AGAAAGAUAAGCUAAAUUUUUAAGCUUAUGGGCUCAUACCCCGUCAAUGAAAGGCGUUAACUUCUCUUUUUA